rnacentral:ncRNA from 1 species
UCUCAGGGCGGGGUGCAAGUCCCCACCGGCGGUGAACCCCGGUUCGGGGCAGCCCGCGGGCGCGUUUUCAAGGGAAAAGCGCAGAUCCGGUGCAAGUCCGGGGCCGACGGUAACAGUCCGGAAGAAAGAGAACG